UACGUAUGGGGCAAGCGUUGUUCGGAUUCACUGGGCGUAAAGGGCUUGUAGGUGGUGGAGUAAGUCGGAUGUGAAAUCCCCGGGCUCAACCCGGGAACUGCAUUCGAAACUAUUCCGCUAGAGUACCGGAGAGGGAAACGGAAUUCCUGGUGUAGGGGUGAAAUCUGUAGAUAUCAGGAAGAACACCGGUGGCGAAGGCGGUUUCCUGGCCGGAUACUGACACUGAGGAGCGAAAGCUAGGGGAGCAAACAGG
rnacentral:rRNA from 1 species